rnacentral:rRNA from 1 species
GCUCGAUCUUCGGAACGGGUUAGUGGCGCACGGGUGAGUAACACGUAGGUGACCUACCCCAGAGUGGGGGAUAACUUCUCGAAAGAGAGGCUAAUACCGCAUACACUCGGUCAUUCAUUUGGCCGAGCAAAGCUCCGGCGCUUUGGGACGGGCCUGCGUCCGAUUAGCUAGUUGGUAGGGUAAUGGCUUACCAAGGCUUUGAUCGGUAGCUGGUCUGAGAGGACGAUCAGCCACACUGGCACUGACACACGGGCCAGACUCCUACGGGAGGCAGCAGUGAGGAAUAUUGGGCAAUGGGCGAAAGCCUGACCCAGCAACGCCGCGUGAGGGAUGAAGGCCUUCGGGUCGUAAACCUCUUUUCUGGGAGAAGAGACAAGGACGGUAUCCCAGGAAUAAGUCUCGGCUAACUACGUGCCAGCAGCCGCGGUAAUACGUAGGAGGCAAGCGUUAUCCGGAUUCACUGGGCGUAAAGCGCACGCAGGCGGUCAUGUAAGUCGGACGUGAAAGCUCCUGGCUCAACUGGGAGAGGUCGUUCGAUACUGCAUGGCUUGAGGUUGGGAGAGGGAAGCGGAAUUCCCGGUGUAGUGGUGGAAUGCGUAGAUAUCGGGAGGAACACCAGUGGCGAAAGCGGCUUCCUGGCCCAUACCUGACGCUCAGGUGCGAAAGCGUGGGGAGCGAACGGGAUUAGAUACCCCGGUAGUCCACGCUGUAAACGAUGCGAACUAGGUGUUGGUAGUAUUAAUCCUAUCAGUGCCGUAGCUAACGCGAUA